UGGGGAAUUUUGGACAAUGGGCGCAAGCCUGAUCCAGCCAUGCCGCGUGUGGGAAGAAGGCCUUCGGGUUGUAAACCACUUUUGUCAGGGAAGAAACGGCCUAAUCUAAUACAUUGGGUUAAUGACGGUACCUGAAGAAUAAGCACCGGCUAACUACGUGCCAGCAGCCGCGGUAAUACGUAGGGUGCGAGCGUUGUUCGGAUUUACUGGGCGUAAAGGGCGCGUAGGCGGCGUGGUAAGUCACUUGUGAAAUCUCCGAGCUUAACUCGGAACGGUCAAGUGAUACUGCUGUGCUAGAGUACAGAAGGGGCAAUCGGAAUUCUUGGUGUAGCGGUGAAAUGCGUAGAUAUCAAGAGGAACACCUGAGGUGAAGACGGUUGCUGGGCUGAUACUGACGCUGAGGCGCGAAAGCCAGGGGAGCAAACGGGGAUUAGAUACCCCCGUAGUCCCUGAGCGGGCUGGCAAGGCGCAU
rnacentral:rRNA from 1 species